UGGGGAAUAUUGGACAAUGGGCGAAAGCCUGAUCCAGCCAUGCCGCGUGUGUGAAGAAGGUCUUCGGAUUGUAAAGCACUUUAAGUUGGGAGGAAGGGCAGUAAGCGAAUACCUUGCUGUUUUGACGUUACCAACAGAAUAAGCACCGGCUAACUCUGUGCCAGCAGCCGCGGUAAUACAGAGGGUGCAAGCGUUAAUCGGAAUUACUGGGCGUAAAGCGCGCGUAGGUGGUUCGUUAAGUUGAAUGUGAAAGCCCCGGGCUCAACCUGGGAACUGCAUCCAAAACUGGCGAGCUAGAGUAGGGCAGAGGGUGGUGGAAUUUCCUGUGUAGCGGUGAAAUGCGUAGAUAUAGGAAGGAACACCAGUGGCGAAGGCGACCACCUGGGCUCAUACUGACACUGAGGUGCGAAAGCGUGGGGAGCAAACAGG
rnacentral:rRNA from 1 species